rnacentral:rRNA from 1 species
UGAGGAAUAUUGGUCAAUGGGCGAGAGCCUGAACCAGCCAAGUCGCGUGAAGGAAGACUGCCUUAUGGGUUGUAAACUUCUUUUAUACAGGAAUAAAAAGGCUUACGUGUAGGCCAUUGCAAGUACUGUAUGAAUAAGCAUCGGCUAACUCCGUGCCAGCAGCCGCGGUAAUACGGAGGAUGCGAGCGUUAUCCGGAUUUAUUGGGUUUAAAGGGUGCGCAGGCGGGCUUUUAAGUCAGCGGUGAAAUCUGGACGCUUAACGUCCAAACUGCCGUUGAAACUGGGAGUCUUGAGUAUGGAUGAAGUAGGCGGAAUUCGUUGUGUAGCGGUGACAUGCAUAGAUAUAACGAGGAACUCCGAUUGCGUAGGCAGCUUACUAAGCCAUAACUGACGCUCAUGCACGAAAGCGUGGGGAUCAAACAGGAUUAGAUACCCUGGUAGUCCACGCCGUAAAACGAUGAUUACUAGUUGUAUGCGAUAUGAUAGUAUGUGACUAAGCGAAAGCGAUAAGUAAUCCACCUGGGGAGUACGCCGGCAACGGUGAAACUCAAAUGAAUUGACGGGGUCAUAGCUG